rnacentral:rRNA from 1 species
CCUCAAAUCGGGUGAGACUACCCGCUGAACUUAAGCAUA